UAACACUUAACUAAGUCAAAAGAGCUAGAGUCUCAAGCUCAAGUUCAGUAUGCCUUUCAGUAAUGUGUAUGAUGUGAAACAGGCAAUUUUGAUACCUUUUAGAUUAGACAAACCAAAAUUAGUCACAGUUUUGUCCAAUGUUCCAAGAAAUUAAGCAUUUUUUUGGCUUGUGAACUUGCCUUGUGUAAAUUAAUUGCUCUGUUGUCUUUGUAAGUGCACAGAUCGUUGUUAUAAGUAACUGAUACCUGAUUUAUUAACACAUUUACUAGCAUAAUUUUCAGAGCAUGAAAGAUGGUAUAAAUAAUAAUCAUCUUACUGAUAUGUCAUCUACUAAAACUCUUAUAUCAAAGAUAUUAACUUAAAAUGAACCCUCAAUAAACUUGGGAGUGCUGAACCAUUAUGCUUCAUCUUUUUUUCUCCUCUUCAUUUCCAGCGAAGGGUAGAAGGGGAGCCUUGACGUAACUGUUAAAGUUGCUGCCAUAUGAUCAGUAGGACACGGGUUCGAGCCGUGAAAAAAGCCUCUUGCAGAAAUGCAGGGUAAAGCUACAUACAAUAGACUCUUGUGGUCCGUCCUUUUCCCUGACCCCGCGCAUAGCAGGAGCUUAAUGCACCGGGCUGCCCUUUUUCAGCAAGGGCCAGCACGGUGCACAAGGCAUCCCACGUUCAUGCAGGGUCUGGGCAAAGGCCGCGCCCAAGGGUUAAGAUGUAGACAACCUACUCUAAAGUAAGCAUUAUGGUUGCUUCCACGGUUCGAACCCGUGACCUAUAAGUCAUACGAAGACAACUUUAUUUCAUUUUCAGCAUGCUUCUUAAUUCUUAAGCAUAUUUCCUAAUGUGAUGAGUUGUUUACUAUCAAUACUCUGUCAAAUCAAUUCAAAGCAGAGUGCCAAUUUUAACGAGUCCUAUAUUAGCUAAGGUUCAGCUAAAACCUUGCUUAAAAACAGAAGAAGUUAUUAAUUGCAUUUACAUAAGAAGGAAGAUGCAUGCGCUGAAGAAAACAAAAAUAAAGCAUUAAAUAUAAAUAAAGAAAAUUACGAAUCUAUGUGCAGAACUUCUGCCAAAGUCCAGUGUGCUUUACUUCAAUCUGCCUAUGAGGUCAUUAUUCAGUUUCUACUCUUCCCAUUCAAUUCAAACUGUUUUUAUCGAAUCCGGUAAUCCAAUAAAUACAAAACACACGUCUUCACAUACACACUUAUUACUCAAUCAUAGUUAAUUAAUAGAUAUUCUUACCUUAAUUUAUUACUUAACUAGUGUAUUAGCCGCGCUACGCGCGGUUAUGAAAAAAAUUUAAAUUAUGAUAGAAUAUUAAUGUCAUAAUUUUUAUAGAAGAAAAUCAAUCUAUGCUAAAAAAACAAAAAUUUCAUGAUUGUAUCAUUUUUGUGAUUUUUGUAACAUCUAAUGCAAAAUUUAUAAAAUAAAAGACUCUGUAAUAAACAUAUAGACUAAAUAUUAAACAAUCUAUUUAGAUUAAUAAAUGUGAAUAUUGAGUAAUAAAAGAGAGAAUAAUACAAAAGAAAUAGUAGAAAAAUAGAAAAAGAAGUGGUGUUGGAAUCAUAUUCCAUAUUUUUUUUGCUUGCGUUUUAAUUCUAGCUUACCAUAAAUAUUGUUCAAAGAAGUUAUCUCUCCUAAUUAAAAGAUGAUAGAGGUAUUGUUUUUCCAACUAUUAAAGAUAAAGGAAUUAAGGUAUAUGAAAUUUAUACGCUUAAUUAUUUUAGUUUCUAGCCAUUUAAGGUAAUUACGUCACAUUAAUAUGCAAUUAAAUGUAAAAUAAAUAUAAAAUCUAAUGUAUUUACCUUCAAUUUAAACAAACAUAUGCAAAAUCAAAUAUCAAAGAAAUAUAAAAGAGGAGGAAAAAUACAUGAUCAAUGAUGGAAAAUGACAAACAAAUUAAUUAUAAUAAAUAAGAAAUUAGUCGUAGUAGAAAGAUCAUAAAGUGAGAAUGUGAGAUAGUGAAUUACCAAUGGUAUUUAAUAAUAUUAGAGAAAACAUCAAAUAUCAAUUGCCAUCCACAUUUACAAAAAUAAAAGUAUACAAAUUCAGAUAUAAGAAAAAACAAAACUAUAGCAAAAUAUCUCAACCUAAUGUUUAAUAAACUUAUCUUUCAAACAACCACACAUCAAUAUAUGUUAAAUGGAGUCUCAUAUAUGAAUUUUCUGCGCAAAAAAAAAAUUUCUUUGCAAGAAGAAAAGAUAAUAAGGAAAAAACUGAAAACAAAUAAAAGGCAAUAUUUUUACCUUCCCAACGGUCAACUCUAGACAACCGUGGAAUAUGUGUAAUCGGUUUUUCCUUAUCUCGUGUUUAGGUUGCUAAGACGAAUGUGUAUAUUCUUCUAUGUUAAGUCUACUAUCUCUUCACUCACCGAAUGCAACACCAAUCCAAUAAUAGCAUGAAUAGUUGUAAUUAAAUUGGAAAAUGAAUGAGAAAAGGAAGUGUAUAUGUCAAAAUAUGCCCUAGAAUAUUUAGGGUAAUAUAGCAUUACGGAAAGAGUCAGCCGAGGUCGACCAGGAGAUGGCAAACCCCGUGGGCGAGAAGCAAAAGAUGGUCGAUAUUGUGCAUUGCAGAAAGAGCUGUAACGGCUAGUUUAUUAGGGCAUGAUAUUAAAGAGAAUAUUCCGUUGAAUAUUCUUGGUACUUGUACUAUUAGGGUUUACUAGGGAUAUAUCCCAAAUAAAUAGGAAAAAAGAUAAGGAAUAGAGGCAUGCGAUAUGCGCCGGAUAAGAACACUUUUCAGAAGAAGAAUCUCUCGCUCUCUCUCUCUAGCAAAGAUACAAAUAUUACCUUUUCAUCAAGAUUUUUGCUCAUAUUAUUCCAUACUUUUCCAUUAGAUCCAUCCGAGAAUAGUUCGAACAUUCUAGGAUUUAUCUAUCACACAUCAUUGUCAGGAGAAACAAUCAUCUAACUCAUUCAUUAUUGGGUGAAUCAUUCCUUCUAUUUACUUAAAUGCCAUUUAUUGCUAGUUACUUUUCCAUUAUUGCUCACACUUUUGGAAUAUUUAAUGCACGAUAUUAUUAAUCCCUUACUGGAUCAGCCCCACAUUAUCCGUAUUUUCAAGAUCCACAUUUAGAAAUAUUAUUAUUAACUAGGUUUAACCCAACAUUAUAUAAAUAUAAAGGUUUAACCGAAAGUUAUACUUUUUGGUCAAAUAAUUUGGCACCGUCUGUGGGGAUUUCCUAGUUAAAUUUUUAGUUUCCUCUAGAUCUACACGGAUUGCUAAUGUAAACAAAAACACCAAGAACAAGAUUCCCUUUUUGCUCACACUUUUGGAAUAUUUAAUGCACGAUAUUAUUAAUCCCCCACUGGAUCAACCCCACAUUAUCCGUAUUUUCAAGAUCCACGUUUAGGAAUAUUAUUAUUAACUAGGUUUAACCCAACAUUACAUAAAUAUAAAGAUUUAACCGAAAGUUAUAUUUUUUGGUCAAAUAAUUUAGCGCCGUCUGUGGGGAUUUCCUAGUUAAAUUUUUAGUUUCCUCUAGAUCUACAACCAACACAGAUUGCUAAUGUAAACAAAAACACCAAGAACAAGAUUCCCUUUCUUUGAAUACACGGAUCUAACUUGGCAGGUAACAAAGAAGAAAAAGUGAGAAUAAUGAGCGACCUCCCAACCAACCUCAUGAGCAUCAUCAAUGAGAGCUCUGAAGUAGUGGACGAGGACGCAACGCCUAAUGCCUCCCCUAGGCGAGGCGGGUCACCCCUCACUGUAGCAUCAUGAAACUCUUGGUAAGGGAGCCUCCAUAUCCGUGAUGGAAGAGACGCCACCGGCAGUAAAAAAGGUCCUUGAGGCUUGGCUAAUUGACACGCUAACCAGCGUCCUCCAUAAGCCCGUUCAGGAUGCGGCUACAGAAAGCGCAAGGACUUGCGUUAUACCACCAACAGACGAGCAACAUGAUUAACUUCCUCCCCCCUACAACGACAGGCAUUACUCACAAUGUUGUUAACAAUGCAGGUGACGAUACUCUCGCGGCCAUUUUGAAAAGGAUGGAGGAAAUAGAAAAUGAGAACAAGGUACUUCGGGACCAAAUGAGAGAACACCAAGAAAGGGUCGAUAAAAUACCGGGCACCCCUAAGCGCUUGCCGAAGAGAGACGUCGGUCGGUUCGUAGAGCAGCCGUACAACGAUGCCGCCGCCCCACAUGCCAUACCAAAGACCUUUAAAAUGCCUCCCUACCUUAAAAUAUACGACAGUACGAUCGACCCCGAAGACCAUGUGACCCACUACGUCACUGCCGUGAAAGGCAAUGACCUCGCCAAGGAACAAGUAUCCUCCAUUUUGUUGAAACAAUUCGGCGAGACCCUCACUGGAGGAGCAUUAACAUGGUAUUCACAGCUGCCCGCGCGUUCUAUUGAAACAUUCGAAGAAAUGAUCGACAAGUUCGUAACGGCCCAUGCUGGGGCCAAGAAGGCAGAGGCGAGAGUAAAUGACAUAUUCGCUAUCAAACAGUCGCCGAGAGAGGGAUUGAGGGACUUCCUUGCCCGAUUCAACCGAGUAAGAAUGGCCUUACCGAAUGUAUCAGAAGGGAUGAUUGUCGCAGCUUUCCAGAACAGGCUGAGCAGAAAUGGUUCAAGCGCAACAAGGAAGUUAUUAAGUCGGCUUAUGAAGUACCCCCUAACAACUUGGGAUGAAAUACAUAACCCAUAUUGCGCCGAAGUCCGAGCAGAUGAGGACGACCUCAAUGGGCCGACCCAUCGACUGACCUCGAUGCAAGCAGAAUCUAGGAAAGAUCGAAGAAAUGAUGUCAGAAGAAAUAUCGCGGCCUCGCGACCCAACCGGGAACGACAUCUCCCAUAUGUCAGAACCACUGUCGCGUCCUCAUCCCGCCAUGAAGAGGGCCCACCCCGAUCAAGAACAGGGAUCCACCGGAACGAGAGAUGUAUGCCCCAUUUAUUAUGCGCUCAUAUAUUUUGUGCGUCGCCUACAGAAAUAGUCUACGCCUUGGAGAAGCUCGAACCGAAGGUGAAGUGGCCACAAAAGAUGAGGUCAGACCCGAAUACCAGAAAAUCAGACGCCCUCUGCGAGUUCCAUCAAGAGCAAGGACACAAAACCGAAGAUUGGAUCUCCCUAAGACAAGAGGUCGUAAACAUGCUACGAUAGGGACACCUCAAAGAAUUGUUGAGCGAUCGGGGAAGGACCAACUUUGCCAGAAGAUGUGAACAACAUCAAGAGCCUCUAAAACCACCCUCGUCGGCCCGCUCCAUCCACAUGAUCAUUGGUGGAGGGGACGACUCUUCCAUCAACAGUGUGAAGUUCACCACAACCCAUAAGCUCAAACGGUCGAUCACUCACGAACGGUAUGAUGAACUCGAAGUAAGUAUCAUCUUCGAUAAGUCAGAUACCAACGGUUUGGCAUUCCCUCACUAUGAUGCUCUUGUUAUCACUUUACAAAUUUUAGAUACCAAUGUGAGUAGGAUUAUGGUAUACGAUGGGAGUGGCGCAUGCAUUAUCCAUCAUUGAGUACUUACACAAAUGAAACUCGAGGAUAAGAUAGUGUUGCGCUGCAUCACACUAACAUGUUUUAACAAUGCAGUUGAGCGAACAUCCGGCGAGAUCACACUCCACGUCCUAGACGAUGGCGUCACUUUGGAAACUGCAUUCCAUAUCAUGAACCCGGACACAACAUACAAUGCUAUAAUAGAGCGAUUAUGGAUACACACCAUGCGAUCUAUCCCCUCCAGCUUGUACCAAGUAAUCAAAUUCCUAACUCCACGGGGAAUAUUCAGUAUACGAGGGGAACACCGCACAUCCUAGGAAUGCUACCGCAUCGCCUUAGACUGUAUGUCCACCCAACAAACAAAGUAUAAAGAAAAAGAGGCAUAGAAAUCAACAUGGUCGAGGUCGAUGUGUGAUGACAACAAGGAUGUCAUCAGAGACCCCGAUAUGGACGAGGCUACAAGAUCGACCAUAGAGGACCUCGACUCCAUUCAAUUAGACAAUAAUGACCCUAGCAAGAAAGAUUACAUCGGCUGCAAACUUCAGGAACUGGGUAAGUUUUGUGAAUUUUUAACUACUAACGCGGACUUGUUCGCCUUUAGCCAUGCAAAUAUGCUAGGUAUCCCAAAGGAGAUCGCCACACACAAAUUGAACGUCGAUCCAUUACACCCCCCAAGUGAGGUAGGUUAGGCGUAUGUUUAACUCCACAAUUAAUGACGUAGUACGUGAAGAAGUGGAAAAUAUGUUGGAAAAUGGCUCCGUCGGGGAGUCAAAGUACCCACAAUGGGUCGCCAACGUAGUCAUGGUGAAAAAGAAGAACGACAAAUGGCGGAUGUGCGUAGAUUUUUGUGACCUGAACAAAGCUUACCCCAAGGAUUUAUUUUCAUUACCCCAUAUCGACCAACUCAUCGACGCAACGGCCAGGCACAAAUUACUAAGCUUCUUGGAUGCCUACUCGGGCUAUAAUUAGAUCCUCAUGGAGGAAUAGGAUCAGGAAAAACCACCUGUAUCACCCACCAGGCGUACUGCUACAGGGUCAUGCCCUUUAGGCUGAAAAAUGCGGGGGAAACUUAUCAAAGGUUGGUGAUGAAGAUGUUCAUAGACCAACUCGGUAAAACAAUGAAAGUCUAUAUAGAUGACAAGCUGGUCAAAUCCAAAAGGAAAGAAGAUUACAUCGACCAUUUGAGAGAAACCUUCGGCAUACUCAAGCAAUACGAAAUGAAACUGAACCCCGAAAAAUGUACAUUCGGCAUGGCCUCAGGAAAAUUCUUGGGUUUCCUAGUAUCACAACGAGGUAUAGAGGUCAAUCCCUACCAAAUCAAGGCCAUCGAAGGGAUACCCGAGCACUCGACCACUAAAAAAUAGGUUCAGAGGUUGACUGGUCGUAUCGUCGCCCUUUCAAGAUUCAUUUCGCGAUCCUCCGAUAGGUGCCAUAAGUUCUUUGGCGUACUAAAAAAGGAUAACAACCUCCAAUGGACCCUGAGUGCGUCCGAGCCCUGAAGGAGUUAAAGGUAUACUUGUCAUCGCCACUAUUGCUUUCAAAACCAGAACUGGGACAGCCCCUCCUCGUCUAUCUCUUCGUGUCCGAAGUAGCUGUGAGCGCGGUCCUAGUCCGAGAAAAUAAAGGUACGCAAUCUCCCAUAUAUUACAUUAGCAAAACACUAGUCGACACCGAAACGAGAUACCCCCAUCUCAAAAAAUUGCUCUGGCGUUAGUCGUAGCUUCAUGAAAGUUUAGACCACAUUUCCAAUGCCACCCCAUCUCGGCCGUCAUGACUUUUCCUUUAAAAAGCAUUUUACAUAAACCCGAGCUAUCGUGAAGGUUGUCCAAAUGGGCCAUCGAAUUGAGCGAGCACGAUAUCACAUAUCGGCCGCGAACGGCGAUAAAGUCACAUGUCCUCGCAGACUUCAGUGCAAAAAUAAUGCCGAAAGUCGAAAAAGAAGUCGUCCACGCUUCUCCCCAAAUAUAAGACCUCUGGGUCCUGUACACUGAUGGAGCGUCUAAUGCAUCAGGGUCUGGGCUGGGACUCGUACUCGAAGUUCCAACAUGCGAAGUGAUUCGCCAAUCCAUACGAUGCCCGGACAUGACUAACAAUGAGGCCGAGUAUAAGGCCGUAAUUGUAGGAUUAAGACUAGCACUCAAAUAUGGGGUGAAGCGGCUAAGAAUGCGCUGCGAUUCUUAACUCGUGGUCAACCAAGUCAUAGGGACUUUCCAAAUCAAGGAACAAAGAUUACAAAAGUACCAGACCGAAAUCUGCAAGUUGUUACCCGAGUUCGACGAGUGUCAACUCGACCAGAUCCCCCGAACACAGAAUACCGAUGAGGACGGUCUCGCCAAAUUAGCCGCAGCCACCAAAAACAUUACAACCAAGAAAGAAAUGUGGUCCACCUCCUCAACCCAUCGAUAAAUCAAAUUGAGGUAAUAACUAUAAACCUGACUUGGGACUGGCGCAACCGUAUUGUUACAUAUUUGCAAGAUGGCAUACUCCCAGAUGAUAAAAAGAAGCCAAGAAACUGCGAAUGCAAGCAGACAGAUACAACAUCAUUCAUAACGACCUGUACAAGAGAAAGUAUGGUGGCCCAUUGGCGAAAUGCUUAGGCUUAAAUCAGACGCAGCGCGUCCUUGAAGAAGUACAUAAAGGUCACUGUGGAUCUCACUCUGACAAUCGAGCUUUGGUCAGAUGCCUCAUACGGGCAGGGUAUUACUGUCCCACCAUGAAAAAAGAGGCCGCGGAUUUCGUGAAAGAAUGCGAGCAAUGCCAGAAGUAUGCCCAAUGAUUCACCAAGCAGGCGAACACCUACACUUAGUGACUUCCCCUUGGUCGUUCAUCAAAUGGGAAUGGAUAUCGUAGGCCCCCUCCCGGCAGAACGAGGUAACGUACGAUUUCUUUUGGUUUUAACUGACUAUUUCUCUAAAUGGGUAGAAGCAAUAACAUUCGCCCAAACACGCAAACAAUAAGUGAUCGCCUUCAUAUGGAAAAAUAACAUAUGCCGUUUCGGUCUUCCCAAAGAGAUCAACUGCGACAACGGAUCCUAGUUUGCGGGAAAAAAGGUCACUGAGUUUUUUGAAAAAUGAAGCAUCAAAAUAAUACUCUCAAUGCCAUACCACCCCGGGGGCACCGGGCAUGAAGAAUCCUCUAAUAAGUCGAUAUUGAACAUCAUGAAGAAGAAACUCGAAGACGCCAAAGGAUUGUGGUUGAAAAUAUUACCAGAAGUACUCUGGGCCUACCGAACAAUUCCAAAGAUGAGCACAUGAGAAACGCCAUACACAUUAGGCUAUGGGACUGAUGCAGUAAUACCGGUCGAGGAGCCCAACCUAAGAUACUCCCAAAAAAGUGGACCCCGAAAUGAUGACAGCAGAAGGCAGGAGCUCGACGAAGUCGAGGAACGAAGAGAUAUGGCCUACGUAAGAAUGGUCACCCAAAAUCAACAAGCAGAACACUAUUAUAACAAAAAGGCAAAGAUCAGGCCACUCAAAGUCGGGGACUAUGUGCUUAAAGCUUUACACAAGAAAGCAAAGACCCACGGGAAGGCAAACUAGAUACAAAUAUGGAUGGCCCGUACAAAAUAACGGCAACAACGAACAAAUGGUCAUUCCAACUAGAAACAAUGGAAGGAAAGAGACUACCAAACAACUAGAAUAUCACAGACCUCAAGUACUUCAACUUUUAAAAGAUGAAGCGUCCCAAAAGUCGUACUCUUUUUUCUCUCACUUAAGUUUUGUCCCAAUUGGGUUUUCUCGAUGAGGUUUUUAACGAGGCGAUGAAGGGGACACUUCAGGAAUGAAGUGCGCACAGACAAAGGCACUGGAUGGCUAGUUCAUUGCCCCACCUCUCAAUACUUUUCCAGGUCGACCAAUGAAGGGACUAAAUAGACUGGGACUGAAAUGCCAGCCAACGCCCGAAAAAUAUGUAAGUUUCUCAAAGUGUAUGAACAAAGCACAAAUGCAUGAAGUUUAUUUCUAUUUUCUACAAAUGUACAACCAAAGCAACAUUUCCUUAAAAUUAUACCACCAAAAAAUGCCACACCUAAUCGGUCGUCGGCCAUAAUCAAGCAUAGGUUAUAUUCGACCUUGUUCGAAUCAAUACAUAAUCGGCCCUCGGCCUUAACUAAGUAUAGGUUACACUCAACCUCGUUCGAAUCAAUACCUAAUCGCCCCUUGGCCAUAAUCGAGCAUAUGUUAUAUUCGACCUCGUUCGAAUCAACACCUAAUCAGACAUCGACCAUAACUAAGCAUAGGAUAUAUUUGACCUCGUUCGAAUCAACACCUAAUCGGCCCUCGUCCCUAACUAAGUAUAGAUUAUAUUCAACCUCAUUCGAAUCAAUACCCAACCUCAUUCGAAUCAAUACCUAAUCAUCCUUCGUCCAUAAUCGAAUAUAGGUUAUAUUCGACCUAGUUCGAAUUAACACCUAAUUGGCCCUAGGCCAUAACUAAGCAUAGGUUAUAUUCGACCCUAUUCGAAUCAACACCUAAUCGGCCCUCGACUCUAACUAAGUAUAGAUUACAUUCGACCUCGUUCGAAUUAACACCUAAUCGGCCAUCAGCCAUAAAUAAACAUACGAUAUGUUCGACCUCGUUCGAACUAACAUCUACUGGCCCUCCACCAUGAUCUAACCUAAGUUUUAUUUCUACCUCGGUCGACCCUACUCGAGCUAAGUUAUUACGACUAAGGAAACCAAGGCAACGAAGCAACAAAAUAAAAAGACAUACAAACUCGAACAGAAGAAAAAGAAUCAGGUGCAAAUAACAAAACUGGUAUUUCAUACUUAGAAUAUUUUUUACAAAGGCUCAAAAAAGACGCCCACAAAAGAAUGCACAAGUCUGCGACAAAACAAAAAGAAGGAAAAAAAAGCUACUAAUCUCCGCUUGGCCCAGCAGCGCCAUCGGCCAGAUCGCCUAGGCCAUCCCCAUCUACGCCUUCACCAUUGCUAUCGACAUCAGGAUACUUACCUUCAUACCAAGCGUCCUCUUCGAUCUGAUCCAUGCCCGCAUCCUCCUCGUCAUAACCGGCCUUUAGUGUAGCAGGAUUGUAGCCGCAAAUGACCCAAGAUCUACGUGCCUUAACACGAGCAUCCUCGAAGAUGGCUUCUAAAACGGUUCUCGCCAUCAUCAGAUCUCUAAAUAUAUCCAGCUGGGCCUCGGCGUGAAUCCACUCGUACAAAUCUUGAGGAACAUCAGGGAAACUAGAAGUGAGGGAAGAGGAUGGUUGAGGCAGUAAUUUUGCCUUCUCGGCCUCGAGAGAGGUGACUCGAUCACAAAGACCAGAAGCCUCUUUCUCUAAUUCUCCAAUCCAUUCAUCAAGCCGCUCUUCUUUGAGCCUGGCCGUCUCCAAGGCACUCUUUCACUCAGAACGAAAAACACGGAUUAUGAUAUCAAAAGCCUUUGCCUUCCUCAUAGCCCCGACCGAGCUAACUCUACCUUCUCGAGAUCCGUUGCCUUCUCGGCGAGCUCUCCACUUAAAGCAUCCGCUUUGAACUCACACUCCUUGAGCUCGGUGUGCAACAAGACCACCUGGGCUUGGAGAUCGCCGCACUGGGCUUCAAGCCCCCUACUAACCUCAAGCUCCUCUUCUUUAUCUCUCAGCGCCCCCUCAAGAACGAUGCAUGUUUCGAUGACCCUCACCAGCUCGCCAUCCUUUUCCUCCAGUUCGUCUCGGAGAGCUUCGAAAGUUUUGCUCUCACCAAACCGCUUACAAAUCUCACGGUGCUUUCCAUGGUACUCGCGGUAUUUUCGCUCCAUCUUCAGAAAAAUAGCCUUACGCCUCUCCUCUCUUUGGGCACUUUCAAUCUCUAAAACCACAGUCUGAAAGAGAGACAAAGAAAAUGGAGAUUAUGAAUGAAACAAACUUUGAACUUGACAAACAAAAACGAAAGAGGUCGAAAAGCUUACCUUGAGAGUGAGGCCGGCUAUGCUCCUAGAUAAGGUAGAGUCUUCCAUCUUUUCAAGGGCUUUACCCUCCACAUCGAAACAGAGGGGACCAAGGGAAGGGACCACGUUCUCCGUGUUAACCAAAAAAUCUCGAUCCAUGGGGAUCGCAAUGGUCCGCGUGGACCCCUCCAAUCUUACUUCGAGACGGAUAAAUCCCUCCCCCAUCAUCCUCACCUCAUCGGCAUCAACAUCGAAGCCCGUCUCAUAACCAUCCUUGGCUAUGCAUUUUCCUUUUAUGUCGGCCAGCGAAGAAGGACCUUCGACCGGUCGCGAGGCCGAUGGCUCAUCUUGCCGCAAAUUAUCAGAGACUCUCGCCGAUGGACCUUCAGCCUCCAUCAUGGUUUCAGGAAGAGACAUACCCUCGACGACUUCAGUCGAUGGCGGAACCACGGGCAAUAACUCGGCGUCAUCUUCAAGCUCUAUGGUUUCCGUUUCACGGAUGACAAAAUUGCCCCUCACUAAAUCCACCGCCUAGGAAACCCCAUCACCGACGUCCACCAAUAUUCUCUUACGGGGAACUAAAUCCCCAUCACUCGGUGAUGAUUCCUCUUCCUCGUUCCCUAGAUAAAGCAAAGGGCAAGCCGGAGGCUCCGCUGUCGAUAUAUCCGCGGCCGGAGAAGAAGUCGGUACGGAAGCAAUAGUAGGUGUUGUCGACGAACGAGUAGACCUGGCCGCGGCGGAAGGACGAAUAGAAGUAGAUAACCAAGCAGUCCUAGCCGCGGUCACAGCAGGAAUAGACUCUAAAGAAGAAGAAGCCUUCCUCUUACGAAAUGCAAGAGGAGGAGCCCGCGGCCUCCUCGAAGAUCCUCGAAUUGAAAAAAAAAGAUCGAAGGUUGUCACUACCGAUAAUAAACUAUGGCGAGCAAGCGACCAUAAGGUCAAAACAGUAAAAAUAAAAAAUAGAUGAACACAUGGUACAAGGAAGAAGCAUGCCCGGACUUCUUGAGAAAGCCCGGCCACUCACGAAUCCGCAUAGUGUGAGGCAGAAUCUGGCCAACCCAGUCAUAAAUUUUUCGACCAAAGGAGGAGGCGCAACCUUGGCUGUACGAGGAAGAGACAAAAGGUUAGAGCCUACGACUAGAAAUAGACAAAUCAAACACCUUUCACAAAAAAACAGAUACUUACGAGAGUGAUUCCAAGUCUCAGGAAAGCCGUCCGCAUUGGCUACCAUGUCUUCGAUUCUGACAAAAAUGUAAUUGAGCCAGAAUUGACGAUUUGCUUUGUCGUCCAUCUUUACCACCAUGCAUUUACCUCCUCGAUGGUGAAGAUGUAACAUCGCCCCCUAUAAGAGCUAAGGGCGAAGAGAUGCAUCAGUUGGCAGAGUGUGACCUCGACCCCGGCAAGCUCGGCGAAUUUUGAGAGCAUCCUGAUAAGCUUGUAAAUAUACGAAGAGAGUUGGGCCAGGCAAACACCGUAAUAGCGGCAAAAUUCCUUUGCCAAUGGGAGAAGGGGGAGAGUAUAGCCGACCUGGAAAGGAUACGCAUAGAACGCGCAAUAUCUGGGGCGGUGGAUUUGCACCACAUCGCACCCUGCUAGGACCAAAUCGAUGUGGGCAGAAAUGUUGAAUUUUUCCCUAAGCUUGGCUAGAUCGGCCUCUUCCAUAACUGAUUCCGAUACUUCGAGCUCACCUUCAGGCACCUUCGAAAAAUUAGACCUAACUUUCUCACUACGAGUGAUUAUUUCCUCCACCGUAGGAAAUUCUCUUCCUCAAUGGCGAUAGAGACCCUAUCAGCGUGAGGGGGUAUAAGCACCACCAAAGGGACAAGGUCAAUUGCCAUACCGAAAAUAGAGGGUACAUUAGCCAUGUUGAUUAAGGGAGAAUAUUUAAGCAAGGAAGUGUUAGAAGCGGCAAGAAUUACUAAAACCAGUAAGAACAUAUGCGACAAUGGAGGAAGAAGAAUGAGGCAAAGGAUUUUGAUAAGAAGAGACACAACAAUGGGGGAAGAAGAAGGAGAUAAGGAGUUUUUUUAUGCAAGGGUUUCGUAAAGAUUGAAACGUUACCAACACACCCCUAUUUAUAAAAAUUCAUGUGUCGAAGCCAAGGAAUUAAUCCAUCAUUACCUGGCACUGUAACCGAAGCGACAGAUUCAAUCAGAAGACGCGCGCGAAAUGAAGCAACGUAUCGGAAAAUCACGUCAUAAUGAAGCAUGUCGCCAUGACGUCAUCCUGAUUCGUGGGACAUAUAAUCCCAGAAGUUACGGUUCACAAAGGGACACACUGCCAACUCGCCCCAAUCAUCACGACUCGUUCAGGUCGUCCAAAUACUUCGACCAUGUUACACAAUAUUCGCUCAUCGAGCCCGCCUGAGGCCGGCCUCAAUAAGCGGAGGAACUAACUGUAUAGGUCAAAAUCUGCCUUAGAAUAUUUAUGGUAAUAUAGCAUUAAGGAAAGAGUCAGCCGAGGUCGACCAGAAAAUGGCAAAGCCCUUGGGCGAGAAGCAAAAAAUGAUCGAUAUUGUGCAUUGCAUAAAGAGCUAUAACGACUAGUUUAUUAGGGCAGGAUAUUAAAGAGAAUAUUUCGUUGGAUAUUCUUGGUACUUGUACUAUUAGGGUUUAUUGGGGGUAUGUCCCAAAUAAAUAGAAAAAAAGAUAAGGAAUAGAGGUAUGUGAUAUGCACUAGAUAAGAACACUUUUCAGAAGAAGAAGAAUCUCUCUCUCUCUCUCUCUCUCUCUCUCUCUCUCUCUCUCUCUCUCUCUAGCAAGGAUGCAAACAUUACUUUUUCAUCAAGAUUCUUGCUCAUAUUAUUCCAUACUUUUCCAUCAGAUCCGAGAAUAGUUCGAACAUUCUAGGAUUUAUCUGUCAUGCAUCAUUGUCAGGAGGAACAAUCAUCUAACUCAUUCAUUUUUGGGUGAAUCAUUCCUUCUAUUUAUUUAAAUGCCAUUUAUUGUUAUUUAUUGCUAGUUACUCCUCCAUUAUUGCUCACACUUUUGGAAUAUUUAAUGCACAAUAUUAUUAAUCCCCCACUAGACCAGACCCACAUUAUCCGUAUUUUCAAGAAUCACGUUUAGGAAUAUUAUUAUUAACUAGGUUUAACCCAACAUUACACAAAUAUAAAGGUUUAACCGAAAGUUAUACUUUUUGGUCAAAUAGGAAGCAUAAAAAAUAAUGUAAACGAACGAUGUCUUCAAAUUUGUGUAAGUAUUUCUGUCAAACGAUCUAGAAAACCGAAAAGAUAUAAAUAAAAGAAAUAAAAAAUAACUUCUGCAAAGAGUGAAAAAAUAAAAUAAAGAUAAAAUGAGAAGAAUGAAGGGGAAAUUACAACCCAAAAAAAAGAAGUUAAAAGAAAAAAACCUUCAAAAAUGUAAUAGAACGUCUCUUCAAAUUUGUGUAAGCAUUUCUCUUAGAAAACGGUUACGGUAGAAAAUGGUGUAAUUAAUCGAAUUUAAAAGGUGUCUUUCUGAAUUUUUGUAGCAUUCACAUAAAUGAAAAUAAAAUGUGAAUGAAGAGAAAGGACUUUGGUGACUCUCUAGCAGUGAGAAGAACAAAUAGUUUCUCUGCAAAUUUUGAAUUAAGACAGAAUAAAAUAGUUACGUGGAAUGUUAAAUAGUUGUAACAACCAACCUCAUGUUACAUUGAAUUUUCAGUGAAUUGGAAAGUUGUAAUACGUAAAUAUAGGAAAAGUUGUAACUAUUGGACUUUUUAUUAAAUAAUGGAGUAGCUAAAUGGAAGAAUAAAGGAAAUUGCAAAAUUUUGAAAAAAAAAGAUAAAUUACCUUCCUGGUCAUAGAAUGUGCCAUGUCACCUCUUCAAGGCCCUCAAUUAUAUAUAUAUAGUAUGAUCUGGUGUGAAAUUAUAGGUAGAUUUUUACCCUUAAACCCUUCCAAUGGUUAGCUUUAUCUAUCUAUUGAAGGUCCUACUUGUAUGAAAAUCCAAAACAAGUACUUAAAGGAGCAUACUCAAGAAUUAAGAAAAAUAAAUGACUUACAUGAGAGAAAUAUUACAAAACACAAACCUAUAUUUAUUCGGAUCAGGAUCCCUCUUUCCUUGGUGUUUGGGGACAAACAUGGACAUAAAGAAUGAGGUCUUUCUUCUAAACUCAUUUAAUGAAAUAAUUAUUUAAAUUAUUUAUAUUGACAGUUUUUUACAUUACAAAUAUCUUAUUCAUUCAAUCUUCUUCACAUCACUGUAUCUUAUAUGAAGAAGGUGUCUUAGCUUAGACAGAUGGACCUACUUCAUAUGAACGGGAUACUGCUCAAUUUAAAAGUAACGUAAUCUUUGGAUGACUAAGAAGAUAUAAACUCCUCCAUUCCACUAACUCACUAAGUAUACCACUGUUGACAGUAUCGAUAAAAACUUACUCGCAUAAUAAUAUUAAUUUAUUAUACUUAAAUGAUUUAACGAGAUAACAAUGUAUAAUAAUUAAUCAUGAUUUAGUGAAAGAAGUGUGUGCGUAGACACAUAUCAUGUAUUUAUCGUUUUGCUGUGAACAUCCGACACGAAUAAGUUUAUAACAAAUUCAUGACAUCCAACAAGUGAACAGACCAACAAAAUCAAGAUCGUAUAUGAUGAGUUUCCGUGCAGUCCUACGAAGACACAAGACUCAAACUGGCUUUCUCUAUCUCUCUUAAUUAACUAUUAUUCCUUUUGUUUUAAUUUAGAUGACACACUUUCCUUAUUAGUCUGUUUUAAAAGAAUGAUACAUUUUUUAAUUUAAAAACAAUUUAACUUUAAAUAUUUCAUUCUAUCCACUUUAUCCUUAAUGAGAAGUUUUUUUAGCCACACAAAUAUUAUGACCCUACUAAGAUUUUGCCUCUUAAGCUUUUAGCAAUACAUAUUUCAAAAGUAUUUUUUUUCUUAAACUUUGUGCCAAAUCAAAUUACGUCAUCUAAAUUUGAAACGGAUGGAGUAAUUAAAUCCACACUAGAGAAUUUGAAAUAGAGUCCAUUACUAGUCUUUAAGGAAUCCUAGGGAUGUGUUAGUAAGCAGCCCUAGUCUUUGCCUAGAUCCUCUCAAAAAGCACAACCCCCUCCCCCUCUCCCCCUCCCAAACCAAAAGAAAUCGAAGAAGAAACUGGAAAGCAUAAAACUGAUUAAAACAUUCCCAAGAAAAGGAGAAUCUCACCAGCAACCGUUAAGCUUGAUUGCUUGAAAGCCUUUUGUUCACAUGCUAAAAUUAGCAGAAACAUGGGAUGUUAGUCUUUUGCACCACAAAACCUGUUAAUUAGUAUUCAAAUUAUAACCAAAAGCAAAUAAUAUAACUGCAUCGUUCUCUUUAAUAUUUCUGUUAGUUAUUAGGGUAAAUAAACAACUUAACUUUGACUAUGGUCGCUUGGACCAGUAGACCCAAACACGAUUUUUUUCUUUGUCAGAAGCAUGAAGAUAUAUACAAAAAGCAAGAAUGCAGAGCCCAUAUGCCAAGUUAGCCAGGACAGGUUCAUCAAAAUCAAGAAAGUUAAGAAAGAUCUAUCUAAAACUAAAAGAGCUAGAGAAGAAGAAUUAAAGACUGUUCUAUUCUUCUUGAAUGUCGUGCACCAAAUCAGAACAAACAACAUGCAGUCAGUCUUCGACGUUGUCAUGUUUUAGUCUUGUGGCAUUCCUUGUUUUAUUUGACUGCUUACCUCAUCUUUAUUUUAAUAAAUUGGAUAUAACUAAGCUUAUAUAUAUACAAUUACAAUGAAUGUUUACACCUUAUUUAUUUCAUAAUUAUAAAUAAUUUGUCUCCUUCUGACUUAUAAGUUAUGAAUUCGAGUUAUGGAAGCAGCUACUAAUACUUGCAUAGAGUAGGCUGUCUACACAUACCCUUGAUGUGCGACCCUUUCUCAGACCUUGCGUCACGAACUUUAUUAUAAAUUUUUACUAAUAAACCUUAUAAAAUUGUACAAUUUAUACAGUCACCGAAUAUAACUAAAAUUAUUUGCGUGAUUCUUGGGGAAGAUUUGGUACAGAAUCCUAGAAUACUUUCUUAAUGGGGGUAAUACAGUAGACCAAAAACCUUGGAGUUUGAAAAUAGAAGGGGUCUGGAUCUUUUGUAUGGAAUUGAGUGGGCAUAUUUUGGUGUCUUUUAAGAAUGCUGUCCCCAUUUUUUUAUGUGGUAUACUGUGUAUAUUACCUUCUUUAUCUCUCUAGAUCUCUACGCUCACUUCUCAUCAUUACAUACCCAUUACAAGAAUUAUAAUUAAGGAAUCAUUACCUACACAAGAAUCUUCUUGUUACUGCAUUGUACGGAUGUUUCAGAAAUCAUUGUUGAAACGGCAAAUGGCUAAAUAUAUAUUUCUACUUUCGAAAAUGAUCUAAGGGUUAUUUAUAUCCCUUCAGUCAUACUUUGGGUUCAAAUAUANNNNNNNNNNNNNNNNNNNNNNNNNNNNNNNNNNNNNNNNNNNNNNNNNNNNNNNNNNNNNNNNNNNNNNNNNNNNNNNNNNNNNNNNNNNNNNNNNNNNNNNNNNNNNNNNNNNNNNNNNNNNNNNNNNNNNNNNNNNNNNNNNNNNNNNNNNNNNNNNNNNNNNNNNNNNNNNNNNNNNNNNNNNNNNNNNNNNNNNNNNNNNNNNNNNNNNNNNNNNNNNNNNNNNNNNNNNNNNNNNNNNNNNNNNNNNNNNNNNNNNNNNNNNNNNNNNNNNNNNNNNNNNNNNNNNNNNNNNNNNNNNNNNNNNNNNNNNNNNNNNNNNNNNNNNNNNNNNNNNNNNNNNNNNNNNNNNNNNNNNNNNNNNNNNNNNNNNNNNNNNNNNNNNNNNNNNNNNNNNNNNNNNNNNNNNNNNNNNNNNNNNNNNNNNNNNNNNNNNNNNNNNNNNNNNNNNNNNNNNNNNNNNNNNNNNNNNNNNNNNNNNNNNNNNNNNNNNNNNNNNNNNNNNNNNNNNNNNNNNNNNNNNNNNNNNNNNNNNNNNNNNNNNNNNNNNNNNNNNNNNNNNNNNNNNNNNNNNNNNNNNNNNNNNNNNNNNNNNNNNNNNNNNNNNNNNNNNNNNNNNNNNNNNNNNNNNNNNNGGAAAAAAUCAUUUUUUUUCCAGUUUUUAGUAAAAAUAAUUUCAGUUUUUUUCAGUUUUUACAAAAAUAAAUUGCUUUAAAAAAUUAUUUUUCGGGUAUGGAUAAUAGAUCUUUUUAAUUAAUUAGGAGAUAUUUAAAAUUGACCAACAGGACGAUGACACGUGUCCCUCCGUUUAAAUGAGGGUAUAUUUGAACCCAAAGUAUGACUAUAGGGGUAUAGAUAACUCAAUAGUAUAACGAGGGGUAUUCUUAGACUAUUUUCGAAAAUAGACAGGUAUAUUUGGCCCUUUGACGUUGUUGAAAUUAUUGCAAUUAUAUAAUCAAGCAUUAGAAGCACAAUUAGAGUUUCUUGGGGACAUGAAUAUCCCAUCUUCUAGGUAGAUUUUACUGUGAAUUCUUAGAAUUGGAGUAAAGAAAUAACUUGGAUUUUUCUAAGUGCUAGGCCCCUAGGGAUGUAUGAAAGACAUGUUCCAACAUGGAAAAGUAAAUUCUCCUAAGACUAAUGAAAGCUAGCUUAAUUUAAACGAGAAAAUGAAAUAAAAUGAACUUAUUAAGAUCUAAUGGAUAUAGUCCGCAUUAUGUAAGAUUCACGGAUGAAAUAAAUAUACAACAAAUAAUAGCAUACUCAGUGUAAUCUUACAAGUGAGAUCUAGGGAGAGUGGGGUGCAUGCAAAUUUUACCCCUGUCUAAAAUAGAGAGGAUGUUUCUGAUAUGAGAUAAUAAAAAGUGUUUAUAAAAAAUAAAAUAAAGAUUCCUCACCACUCCAACUAGCAUUUUUAUUGAACCACCAAGCUUUCAAAAUCAGAUGUCCGGCCGAACAUUUUAUAGCUAACCAAUUCAUAGGAAGAGGACUAGGCCGUGUCUCCCAAUUCCUAGAGAAAAUUGAAAAAGGACAAUCUUUUACAUUUUGAGUGGGUUAUAAGUAGGACUAAGUAUACUCCUAUUUCCGAUUUAGGAGGAUUCCUCUUGUACACAAUUGCAAAGACAUUAAACAAGGGAGACUUUCCCGGUGAGGCACAAGUCAAGCUACGAGUUCGAUCAAACCUAGUACUAACUUUUAUACAGUGUAUUUGGUGUUUAGAAUUCAUUAAAUAUAUACCAAUACGACAUUAAGAACCCAGUCACUAACAUUUGAAGUCGUCGUUCUAAAAUAUAUUCAAAACUCAUAAAGUUGAAAUCCUGACUGCUCUUCUUCCUUUACAAAAUUAUAGAUAUACACCUAAGUAGGUGUACAUCAUAAUUCAUAAUGAAAGAAUAACUUACGACCCAAAGUGAUCUUAACAUAAGUCAUGUUCUUCAAAGAUGCUAUAAUUUAACUUGAGCUUUCAAAAAGAGAGCUUCCUUGAAGAAUCCGAGUUGAGUUGUUUAAAGACACUUGAAAAAAAAAA
rnacentral:lncRNA from 1 species